rnacentral:rRNA from 3 species
UACGGAGGAUCCGAGCGUUAUCCGGAUUUAUUGGGUUUAAAGGGAGCGUAGGCGGACUAUUAAGUCAGCUGUGAAAGUUUGCGGCUCAACCGUAAAAUUGCAGUUGAUACUGGUCGUCUUGAGUGCAGUAGAGGUAGGCGGAAUUCGUGGUGUAGCGGUGAAAUGCUUAGAUAUCACGAAGAACUCCGAUUGCGAAGGCAGCUUACUGGACUGUAACUGACGCUGAUGCUCGAAAGUGUGGGUAUCAAACAGG